GACUACCGGGGUAUCUAAUCCUGUUCGAUCCCCACGCUUUCGUGCCUCAGCGUCAAUAUCGGUCCAGUAAGCUGCCUACGCAAUUGGUGUUCUGUGUAAUAUCUAAGCAUUUCACCGCUACAUUACACAUUCCGCCUACCUUAACCAAAUUCAAGACUAACAGUAUCAAUGGCAGUUCUACAGUUAAGCUGUAGGAUUUCACCACUGACUUAUUAAUCCGCCUACGCACCCUUUAAACCCAAUGAAUCCGGAUAACGCUUGCAUCCUCCGUAUUACCGCGGCUGCUGGCACGGAGUUAGCCGAUGCUUAUUCCCAAGGUACAGUCAUGUUCUUACACGUAAAAACUAUUCUUCCCCUGGAAAAGCAGUUUACAACCCAUAGGGCCGUCUUCCUGCACGCGGGAUGGCUGGUUCAGGCUUGCGCCCAUUGACCAAUAUUCCUCACUGCAGCCCCCCGUAGG
rnacentral:rRNA from 1 species